rnacentral:rRNA from 1 species
ACCCAACAGCUAGCCCACCAGCACAACAACAACCGACCACUAUUUAUACCCCUACAUACACAAACAAUUAUAAUAAUUAAACCAUUCUUCCCCUUAAGUAUAGGAGAUAGAAAAAGGCAUAUGGAGCCAUAGAGAAAGUACCGCAAGGGAUUGCUGAAAGAGUAAUGAAAUAAUCCAGUAAA